UUUCAGACAAUGCACUUGAGUUUAUGUUGUGUGAGUUUUAGGGUUCAAUAUAUAUGUUGGCGCCCAAGAAUUGGCUUUUAACACUUCAUUAAAUUUUCAAAUUUCACUUCCCUCCGUUCGAUCAAAUUUUGGUGAAAUGUUUGAGCAGUAUAUAAGGGAAAUGUAAACCUAUAGUCUUUCCUCCUUUGCUCCUUCUUCCUCGCUCGGGCCGCAGACCUCUCUCUCUCUUUCUCUCUCCCCUUUCCUCUCAUCUUCUCUCUGUCACGCCGGAAAGCUCGACUUCCGUAUGUCGUCUUUUGACACCGCCACCACCAAAAGAUAGCCUAGGCAAUGAAGAACAAAACCCAGCCACUCCUCCGUCGAUCGAGAUGACCAGACCACGAAUUCUAAUUUCCCUCUCACGAAUUCAUAUACCUCUAUAUCUCUCUUUCUCGAUCUUCUUCUCUUUAUCCUCGCCCAAAUUGCCAGUCAUCUGCCUCUUAUCUCUCUCUCUUAUGCUGAACAAGAUUAGAUCUGAGCGUCAGGUGUUCGGGAGGGCGGCCGCACAAGGAAGGGGGAAGGGCCCAUCAUCGUAAACCUCUCUCAGAUCCAAUCUCUCUGGUUGGUAUGGACGACCUCUGGCUCUCCCAAUGCUACCACAACCACUCUGACAUUUACGACGACAGCCGCCAUGCCAGCCCAACAAUUUGUCCAGCGAAAAGACCCAGCCCCCUCAGCCCGGCAAGAAGCAGUUCAUCAUCGAACCCUUUCAAAGGUUUGGCCUCGAUCCCGAAGCUCGCGUUUGUCACGAGUAGCAGACAAAUAUAUUGGGGAGCCCUUGGAUCGCCGUCAUCGCAGCCGUUCUUCUCAGUCUCUAUUACUGUUUCUGUGUAAUUGGGCAAUGGCGCGCAGGCCUACUUCUCCUACCGAGUAACCACCAAGGAUCGAUAAUGAGAGGCCUCCUCAAGGUGGAGAACCCUCAAUGCACAAUGUCGAUUGGAGAGUCAAUUGCUGCCAGAUUCACGUGAAAUAAUAGUCAAAAGUAUAUAUCAAGGCAGAAGCACCUGUUGGCUGCUCCCACUCACACUUGUGCUACUCCCUCUUUUUUUCCUAGUUUUGAUACUGGAUUUUUGGAUGUGAGAACUCUAGCCGGAGAACAAGAUAAUUGUGAUUUUGCUUACAACUAUCUUAGUGGUACAAUACUAAAGGAAUGGGCUUCAAGCUUGCAAUGAUUUUGUUUACAACUAUCUUGGGAGAUCGAGCAAAUUGCAUUCUUUUUUAUUAUGAUGUAAAGCUCAUGAAACUUGAAAGCUUGUUUAGCUAAUGAAAUAGAUAUAGGCACUUGGGCAAGCUUAAUUCCUGUGUAAAUGUUAGGAUGAAUACUGCUGAUGGAAUGAAAUGGUUUUUGGAAUCAAGGAUAUGUUGUUCAAUUCUACACAAUGUAUAUCUUC